rnacentral:lncRNA from 13 species
UUUUCUUCGGUAUAAAACCAAAUACUUGAUCAUAUAACGUAGACUUAAGCGUAUCUUUCUAUAAGAAUCGUAUCUUGUCGUGAAAGUGUUAAAUUGAAUUUGACUAAAUUACAUUGGCUGAAUUUCAAACUUUUUAGGAUAAAUUAUUGGAGGAUAACCUAAAGGAUGAGCUUGACAUUUGUUCUGCUGUUUAGUCUCGCAUUUUCUGGACUCGUUUCAGGAAUAGAAUACUUUUCAGAUAACAUAGAUGUGGAUGCAAUCAUUAAUAGCGACCGUCUUUUAAAUCAAUAUGUAAAUUGUAUUCUCGAUAAAGGUCCCUGUACUGCCGAUGGACGUAGUCUUAAACGUAAGUGUUUGUGUUUUAUUUUAAAAAUCUUUGUAUUGCAUUUUUCUUAUAAGAAAAAAGGUAGGAAAGGAAAUGAG